rnacentral:rRNA from 4 species
UACAGAGGGUGCAAGCGUUAAUCGGAAUUACUGGGCGUAAAGCGCGCGUAGGUGGUUCGUUAAGUUGGAUGUGAAAUCCCCGGGCUCAACCUGGGAACUGCAUCCAAAACUGGCGAGCUAGAGUAGGGCAGAGGGUGGUGGAAUUUCCUGUGUAGCGGUGAAAUGCGUAGAUAUAGGAAGGAACACCAGUGGCGAAGGCGACCACCUGGGCUCAUACUGACACUGAGGUGCGAAAGCGUGGGGAGCAAACAGG